rnacentral:rRNA from 1 species
AAAUUGAAGAGUUUGAUCAUGGCUCAGAUUGAACGCUGGCGGCAGGCCUAACACAUGCAAGUCGAACGGUAACAGGAAGCAGCUUGCUGCUUCGCUGACGAGUGGCGGACGGGUGAGUAAUGUCUGGGAAACUGCCUGAUGGAGGGGGAUAACUACUGGAAACGGUAGCUAAUACCGCAUAACGUCGCAAGACCAAAGAGGGGGACCUUCGGGCCUCUUGCCAUCGGAUGUGCCCAGAUGGGAUUAGCUAGUAGGUGGGGUAACGGCUCACCUAGGCGACGAUCCCUAGCUGGUCUGAGAGGAUGACCAGCCACACUGGAACUGAGACACGGUCCAGACUC